UCAAAACUUUCAACAAUGGAUCUCUUGGUUCCGGCAUCGAUGAAGAACGCAGCGAAAUGCGAUAACUAAUGUGAAUUGCAGAAUUCAGUGAAUCAUCGAGUCUUUGAACGCACAUUGCGCCCCCUGGUAUUCCGGGGGGCAUGCCUGUCCGAGCGUCAUUU
rnacentral:rRNA from 1 species